ensembl:snRNA U6 U6 spliceosomal RNA
GUGCUCGCUCUGGCAGCACAUAUACUAAUUGGAACGAUACAGAGAAGAUUAGCAUGGCCUCUGUGCAAGGACAACACGCAAAUUCAUGAAACGUUCUGUAUUUUU